ACCGCUAAUCCUCCAGUUAGGAAACGACCCGCUCUACCUCCUGAGCCACAGCUGCCCCCAUACAUUACAUUCAUUUGUUGCAGUUUGGAUUAAUACACAUUGUUGUGCUAGUAUUUAUGGCAGCAGGAUAGUUGGACUGACAGUGACUCAAAAUUAACUAUAGUUCCCAUGGUUAUAAUAACAAAGGGCCAUGUCAGCUGGCACAUUAUGGUUCGCUGCUAUGUUUUUAAUAGUCUUUGAACAAGAAUGGCGUUCAAGCUAAGUUAGUCAUUGGCUACUUAGGCAAUACUGAUAUGAUAUAUUCAUAAUCUUUUCAUGGGACUUAUCAGCAUGAAACACAUACCAACUGCCUUAUAUUUUAAUGAAAUUCAUCUGAAGAAUUGUUACAGAUGCUAACCUUCUUGCUUACAAUGUAAUUAUUUGGCAUAAAAUAAUAUUUCCUGUAUGUGGACUCCAACAGUAUAAUGACAUAGUAACCAGUGAAAAUUUGAUAUCACAAGCCUCUGGGAAAUGCCUGAGUGAGUCAGGUCAUGGAUCUGAAACACUGGAGGGCACACAUCACAAUUUAAAAAUGUGCUUUAAAUAUAUAUAUAAAUGACCUCAUAAUGGAAGAUUUUAGGGGAAUGAGUAAGUAUAAUUAAUCACCAUAAUAACUGCUGCACCCAUCACCUCUGAAUAAUUACUGACUACCUGGUAUGUGCUAAUUGACAAACUCCUCUGGGACAAAGGGAAUUAAGCAGACCAGACCAGACUAUAUUCUGACUCAUUCCUGGAUUUCCUGUGUUGCUGUAAUUGUGUAAUGCUGAUUUGAUGCUCAUUUAACAUUGACCCUCCAAUGCCAUUAGGUUUUCAAUUUGACAGUGUUCCUGAAAAGAGCACCUUCUCAGCACCUGUAAGGACACAUCUCCACUGCCAACACAGGUCAUCAGGAGCUGGCUCUGCAUGUUUUAAAUAGCAGUGGUAAAGCACAAUAACUCAGUCUCUCCUCUCUGCUUAUUAAAAGAGAACAUUUUAAUGGACAUAUCUGCUCCUCAGGGACUUCAGUGUGGGAAACAAAAAAACACUUCCCACCUCAAAGCAAAAAAAAAAAAGGAGCUCUUGACUCUUACCAGCGACUGAGGUUUUUAAACGGGCACAUGUAUGGUUGUAUAAGGUGGAUCAUGAUUAAGUGAGCAUUAUAGUUUACACCUGCUUGCAUUUGUAGCUGCAGUAUGUACUGUAAAUGUUAAUGAACUCCAAGCAAAGUAACUGUGCUCAUGUUCAUGUUAUGUCCGUGGCCCAGACCAACCCCAGCACCUCAUCUGCGCCUCAUCUCCCACACAGGUGGGAAGGCAUUCUAGGCAGCGAGGCACACCUGCUCUUAAUUACCAGACUAGUACUUAAGGGGAGCGUUGGUGUGCCCUCAUUGCCAGAUGAUCUCUUGUAUUCCUGCCGGUAACCUGUCUUUACUCUCAUCACUAGGAUUCCCUAUGUAUGAACUGUUUUCUAUAUUGUUGGACUUGAUUUCAGGUGACACUCCUCAGGACGAGGAGACCAACUCUUGCUGGGACUGGUUGCCUGGCUCUGGAUCCCAACUGUCAGCCGUCCUCACACCAUCCUGCUACCUGCUCUACCAUCCGCUGUGAGCCUGAUUCUCACUAUCUACUGCACGCUGGACCAGUGAUCUCCUGUGCCAACUCCUACACCACCUCUAGACUGUGUUUCAUGCCUAUGGCAUUCACCUGACUUGAGCCACCAGCUGCGCCUCUCCUACAACCUCGGGUUGAAGCUCUAGCAGUCCAGUCAACCCAGUACUCCCCGCUGCCCUGAGAUCAGCUGACGAGACCGGUUCUGACCACUCAUCAUUUCUGUAGUCAUUAAAAUACAUUUACCUGGUUAAGCCUGAGUCUGAGUUCUGCCUUUUUACUGAGUCCGACUAAUAUAUGUAUAUAUGGUUCUCCAUAACAGUUCAGCUGUACCUUUUGACACUGACCAUUAUAUCUUCUGUUGUCUGCAUCAAUGUCUGAUUAUUUCUCAUGAAGAUCUCUCAAAUUCUGUUUUGCAUUUGUAACACAUCUGUUGUAAAUUUAGAACAUACACAAGCAGUUCAGAGUCUGUGCUGGAAGCUGCUGUAGCUGUAUGUUGCUUUAGUGUCCACAAAAUUCUUUCCACUUCAGAGUGUAACUACCUUUCUUUCAGUUAAGGAAAAAGGUUCAGAAUUACUGGAUAACCAGAGGAAUCACAGACAAAGGUAUACUUUAAGUUCUCAUUUGGUUCUGUAGCUGCAAUUACUGUACAUGUGCCAAUCAGUAAUAUCGAUGACUUCCUUUCACUGUGUACAUUGGAAUUGUUCCUGCUGUUACACACUGAAAUCUAUUAGGAUAAGCUGAUCUUUGACCUUUUGUCUCCCAUGAUUAGUGUCACAAUUCAUUUAAAUAUAAGGUUGGAAAUGCCAUGAUUGUCUCACUGAACAUACAGUACCAUGGUAAAGAUAUUAAUGUGACCUACCGGUUGAGUGAUAAUGUGUCUCGUACUCCCAAAAGAAAAGACAGUGUGUGUGUUUUGUAGCGCUGCAACAGGCCCACCCCGACAAACAGCUGAGUGAAUUGUGGUGCAGUAAAUGUGUUAAGUAUUGAUCAACAAUAUACAUAAGUGAGUUUG